rnacentral:rRNA from 1 species
UACGUAGGGUGCGAGCGUUAAUCGGAAUCACUGGGCGUAAAGCGCACGUAGGCGGAUCGCUAAGUCAGGGGUGAAAUCCUGGAGCUCAACUCCAGAACUGCCUUUGAUACUGGCAAUCUCGAGUCCGGGAGAGGUGAGUGGAACUGCGAGUGUAGAGGUGAAAAUUCGUAGAUAUUCGCAAGAACACCAGUGGCGAAGGCGGACUCACUGGCCCGGUACUGACGCUGAGGUGCGAAAAGCGUGGGGAGCAA